rnacentral:misc_RNA from 1 species
GAUGAAGAACGCAGCGAAAUGCGAUAAGUAAUGUGAAUUGCAGAAUUCAGUGAAUCAUCGAAUCUUUGAACGCACAUUGCGCCCGCCAGUAUUCUGGCGGGCAUGCCUGUUCGAGCGUCAUUUCAAUCCUCAAGACCCCUUCGGGGGACUUGGUGUUGGGGACCGGCACAGGGGCCUGCCUGCUUGUCUUGCAGCGCCCUCGCCGCCCCCGAAAUGAAUUGGCGGCCUCGUCGCGGCCUCCCCUGCGUAGUAGCACAACCUCGCAACGGGAACGUGACGGCGGCCACUGCCGUAAAACAACCCCAAUUUUAUUAGAGUUGACCUCGAAUCAGGUAGGAAUACCCGCUGAACUUAAGCAUAUCAAUAAGCGGAGGA